rnacentral:rRNA from 1 species
UACGUAGGUCCCGAGCGUUGUCCGGAUUUAUUGGGCGUAAAGCGAGCGCAGGUAGUUUAUUAAGUCUGGUGUGAAAGGCAGUGGCUCAACUAUUGUAUGCAUUGGAAACUGGUAGACUUGAGUGCAGGAGAGGAGAGUGGAAUUCCAUGUGUAGCGGUGAAAUGCGUAGAUAUAUGGAGGAACACCGGUGGCGAAAGCGGCUCUCUGGCCUGUAACUGACACUGAGGCACGAAAGCGUGGGGAGCAAACAGG